GGGCCUGUGGUGUAAGCGGUUAACAUACUGCCCUUGACACGCAGUGAUACGGGUUCAAUUCCCGUCGGGUCCA
rnacentral:tRNA from 2 species